AUGAACGCUGGCGGCGUGCCUAAUACAUGCAAGUCGAGCGCACGGACGAGAAGCUUGCUUCUCUGAUGUUAGCAGCGGACGGGUGAGUAACACGUGGAUAACCUACCUAUAAGACUGGGAUAACUUCGGGAAACCGGAGCUAAUACCGGAUAAUAUUUUGAACCGCAUGGUUCAAAAGUGAAAGACGGUCUUGCUGUCACUUAUAGAUGGAUCCGCGCUGCAUUAGCUAGUUGGUAAGGUAACGGCUUACCAAGGCAACGAUGCAUAGCCGACCUGAGAGGGUGAUCGGCCACACUGGAACUGAGACACGGUCCAGACUCCUACGGGAGGCAGCAGUAGGGAAUCUUCCGCAAUGGGCGAAAGCCUGACGGAGCAACGCCGCGUGAGUGAUGAAGGUCUUCGGAUCGUAAAACUCUGUUAUUAGGGAAGAACAUAUGUGUAAGUAACUGUGCACAUCUUGACGGUACCUAAUCAGAAAGCCACGGCUAACUACGUG
rnacentral:rRNA from 1 species